UAUGGGUGUGCCAGCAGCCGCGGUAAAACGUAGGGUGCAAGCGUUGUCCGGAAUUACUGGGUGUAAAGGGAGCGCAGGCGGAUUGGCAAGUUGGGAGUGAAAUCUAUGGGCUCAACCCAUAAAUUGCUUUCAAAACUGUCAGUCUUGAGUGGUGUAGAGGUAGGCGGAAUUCCCGGUGUAGCGGUGGAAUGCGUAGAUAUCGGGAGGAACACCAGUGGCGAAGGCGGCCUACUGGGCACUAACUGACGCUGAGGCUCGAAAGCAUGGGUAGCAAACAGG
rnacentral:rRNA from 1 species